rnacentral:tRNA from 1 species
GCCUCCUUAGCUCAGUGGUAGAGCAACGCUCUUGUAAAGCGUAGGUCGUCAGUUCAAUCCUGACAGGAGGCUCCG